rnacentral:rRNA from 1 species
CACACAGCUCAGUAACACGUGGCUAACCUGCCCUUGGGAUAGGAACACCCCCGGGAAACUGGGGCUAAUUCCCAAUAGGCGAAGAACUCUGGAAUGAGUCUUCACCAGAAAAGACUCCUGCAUUAUGCUUGUAGGUUUCGCCCAAGGAUGGGGCCGCGACCGAUCAGGUUGUUGGUGAGGUAAUGGCUCACCAAGCCUUUUACCGGUGCGGGCCGUGAGAGCGGGAGCCCGGAGAUGGGCACUGAGACAAGGGCCCAGGCCCUACGGGGCGCAGCAGUCGCGAAAACUUUGCAAUACACGCAAGUGUGACAGGGCUAUCCCGAGUGCCAUCCGCUGAGGAAGGCUUUUACCCAGUCUAGAACGCUGGGGGAAUAAGGAGAGGGCAAGUCUGGUGUCAGCCGCCGCGGUAAUACCAGCUCUUCGAGUGGUGUGGAUGUUUAUUGGGCCUAAAGCAUCCGUAGCUGGCCAAGUUAGUCCUUUGUUAAAUCCACCGAAUUAAUCGUUGGAUUGCGGGGGAUACUGCUUGGCUAGGGGACGAAAGAGGCAGAACGGAAUUUUCGGGGUAGGGGUGAAAACCUAUAAUCCCCGGAAAAACCACCAGGGGCGAAAGGUGUCUGCCAAAAACCCCCCCCCAAGGGUGAAGGAAUAAAACCUUGGGGAACCAACC